AUUGAACGCUGGCGGCAUGCCUUACACAUGCAAGUCGAACGGCAGCACGGGUGCUUGCACCUGGUGGCGAGUGGCGAACGGGUGCGUAAUACAUCGGAACAUGUACUGUCGUGGGGGAUAGCCCGGCGAAAGCCGGAUUAAUACCGCAUACGAUCCACGGAUGAAAGCGGGGGACCUUCGGGCCUCGCGCUAUAGGGUUGGCCGAUGGCUGAUUAGCUAGUUGGUGGGGUAAAGGCCUACCAAGGCGACGAUCAGUAGCUGGUCUGAGAGGACGACCAGCCACACUGGGACUGAGACACGGCCCAGACUCCUACGGGAGGCAGCAGUGGGGAAUUUUGGACAAUGGGCGAAAGCCUGAUCCAGCAAUGCCGCGUGUGUGAAGAAGGCCUUCGGGUUGUAAAGCACUUUUGUCCGGAAAGAAAUCCUUGACUCUAAUACAGUCGGGGGAUGACGGUACCGGAAGAAUAAGCACCGGCUAACUACGUG
rnacentral:rRNA from 1 species